rnacentral:misc_RNA from 1 species
GAUGAAGAACGUAGCGAAAUGCGAUACUUGGUGUGAAUUGCAGAAUCCCGUGAACCAUCGAGUCUCUGAACGCCAGUUGCGCCCGAAGCCAUCAGGUUGAGGGCACGUCUGCCUGGGCGUCACAUAUCGUUGCCCAAUGCCUAUUGCAGUGCAAUAGGAAUUUCUAGGGCGAAUGAUGGCUUCCCGUGAGCGUUGUUGCCUCGCGGUUGGUUGAAAAUCGAGUCCUUGGUAGGGUGUGCCAUGGUAGAUGGUGGUCGAGUUAGAACGAUACCGAUCAUGUGCAUGCUCCCCAAAAUAUGGCCUCUAUGACCCACACGCGUCUUUUGACGCUCAUGACGAGACCUCAGGUCAGGCGGGGCUACCCGCUGAAUUUAAGCAUAUCAAUAAGCGGAGGA